rnacentral:rRNA from 1 species
GACGAACGCUGGCGGCGUGCUUAACACAUGCAAGUCGAACGGAAAGGCCCUGCUUUUGUGGGGUGCUCGAGUGGCGAACGGGUGAGUAACACGUGAGUAACCUGCCCUUGACUUUGGGAUAACUUCAGGAAACUGGGGCUAAUACCGGAUAGGAGCUCCUGCUGCAUGGUGGGGGUUGGAAAGUUUCGGCGGUUGGGGAUGGACUCGCGGCUUAUCAGCUUGUUGGUGGGGUAGUGGCUUACCAAGGCUUUGACGGGUAGCCGGCCUGAGAGGGUGACCGGCCACAUUGGGACUGAGAUACGGCCCAGACUCCUACGGGAGGCAACAGGGGGGAAUAUUGCACAAUGGGCGGGAGCCUGAUGCAGCAACGCCGCGUGCGGGAUGACGGCCUUCGGGUUGUAAACCGCUUUCGCCUGUGACGAAGCGUGAGUGACGGUAAUGGGUAAAGAAGCACCGGCUAACUACGUG